rnacentral:rRNA from 1 species
ACGGAAUAGAUACCCUGGUAGUCCACGCCCUAAACGAUGUCUACUAGUUGUUGGUGGAGUAAAAUCCAUGAGUAAACGCAGCUAAACGCGUGAAGUAGACCGCCUGGGGAGUACGGUCGCAAGAUUAAAACUCAAAUGAAUUGACGGGGGCCCGCACAAGCGGUGGAUUAUGUGGAUCAAUUCGAUGCAACGCGAAAACCUUACCUGGCCUUGACAUGUAACGAACUUUCCAGAGAUGGAUUGGUGCUCGAAAGAGAACGUUAACACAGGUGCUGCAUGGCUGUCGUCAGCUCGUGUCGUGAGAUGUUGGGUUAAGUCCCGCAACGAGCGCAACCCUUGCCAUUAAUUGCCAUCAUUUAGUUGGGCACUUUAAUGGGACUGCCGGUGACAAACCGGAGGAAGGUGGGGAUGACGUCAAGUCCUCAUGGCCCUUAUGGCCAGGGCUUCACACGUAAUACAAUGGUCGGUACAGAGGGUUGCCAACCCGCAGGGGAGCCAAUCCCAGAAAGCCGGAUCGUAGUCCGGAUUGUAGUCUGCAACUC